UNUGACUUGAGUGCAGAAGGGGAGAGUGGAAUUCCAUGUGUAGCGGUGAAAUGCGUAGAUAUAUGGAGGANCACCAGUGGCGAAAGCGGCUCUCUGGUCUGUCACUGACGCUGAGGCUCGAAAGCGUGGGUAGCGAACAGGAUUAGAUACCCUGGUAGUNCACGCCGUAAACGAUGAGUGCUAGGUGUUAGGCCCNUUCCGGGGCUUAGUGCCGGAGCUAACGCAAUAAGCACUCCGCCUGGGGAGUACGACCGCAAGGUUGAAACUCAAAGGAAUUGACGGGGGCCCGCACAAGCGGCGGAGCAUGUGGUUUAAUUCGAAGCAACGCGAAGAACCUUACCAGGUCUUGACAUCCCGAUGCUAUUCUUAGAGAUAGGAAGUUACUUCGGUACAUCGGAGACAGGUGGUGCAUGGUUGUCGUCAGCUCGUGUCGUGAGAUGUUGGGUUAAGUCCCGCAACGAGCGCAACCCUUAUUGUUAGUUGCCAUCAUUAAGUUGGGCACUCUAGCGAGACUGCCGGUAAUAAACCGGAGGAAGGUGGGGAUGACGUCAAAUCAUCAUGCCCCUUAUGACCUGGGCUACACACGUGCUACAAUGGUCGGUACAACGAGUUGCGAGCCGGUGACGGCAAGCUAAUCUCUGAAAGCCGAUCUCAGUUCGGAUUGGAGGCUGCAACUCGCCUCCAUGAAGUCGGAAUCGCUAGUAAUCGCGGAUCAGCACGCCGCGGUGAAUACGUUCCCGGGCCUUGUACACACCGCCCGUCACACCACGAGAGUUUGUAACACCCGAAGUCGGUGAGGUAACCUUUUAGGGGCCAGCC
rnacentral:rRNA from 1 species